rnacentral:rRNA from 1 species
UACAGAGGUCCCAAGCGUUGUUCGGAUUCAUUGGGCGUAAAGGGUGCGUAGGUGGCGCUGUAAGUCAGGUGUGAAAUUUCGGGGCUUAACCCCGAAACUGCACUUGAUACUGCGGUGCUUGAGGACUGGAGAGGAGACUGGAAUUUACGGUGUAGCAGUGAAAUGCGUAGAUAUCGUAAGGAAGACCAGUGGCGAAGGCGGGUCUCUGGACAGUUCCUGACGCUGAGGCACGAAGGCCAGGGGAGCAAACGGG